rnacentral:rRNA from 1 species
AUUGAACGCUGGCGGCAGGCCUAACACAUGCAAGUCGAGCGAGCGGCGGACGGGUGAGUAAUGUAUGGGGACUGCCCGAUAGAGGGGGAUAAAUACUGGAAACGGUGGCUAAUAACGCAUACUAUCGGAUCACCCAUAUGGGAUUAGCUAGUAGGUGGGGGAAAGGCUCACCUAGGCGACGAUCUCUAGCUGGUCUGAGAGGAGGAUAGGCCACUAUGGCACUGAGCCAGGGCCCAGACUCCUAAGGAGGCAUCAGUGGGUAAUAUUGCGCAAUGGGGGCAACCCUGACGCAGCCAUGCCGCGUGAAUGAAGAAGUCCUUCGGGUUGUAAAGUUCUUUCGGUAGCGAGGCGUUAACUACAGAAGAAGCACCGGCUAACUCCGUGCCAGCAGCCGCGGUAAUUC